AGAGUUUGAUCCUGGCUCAGGAUGAACGCUAGCGGCAGGCCUAAUACAUGCAAGUCGAACGCUCAGUAGCAAUACUGGGAGUGGCGCACGGGUGCGUAACGCGUACACAAUCUACCUCUAAGCGGGGGACACCUCCUGGAAACGGGGAUUAAUACCGCAUAAUAUGCCGAGGUCGCAUGACUUUGGUACUAAAGCAGCAAUGCACUUAGAGAUGAGUGUGCGUCCCAUUAGGUAGUUGGUGAGGUAACGGCUCACCAAGCCUAUGAUGGGUAGCCGGUCUGAGAGGAUGGUCGGCCACACGGGCACUGAGACACGGGCCCGACUCCUACGGGAGGCAGCAGUAAGGAAUAUUGGUCAAUGGUGGAAACACUGAACCAGCCAUGCCGCGUGGAGGAAUAAGGUCCUACGGAUUGUAAACUCCUUUUGACGAGGAAGAAAGUGUUAGAUUUAUCUAAUUUUGACGGUACUCGUAGAAUAAGCACCGGCUAACUCCGUG
rnacentral:rRNA from 1 species